rnacentral:rRNA from 1 species
GUGAGGAAUAUUGCGCAAUGGAGGCAACUCUGACGCAGCCAUGCCGCGUGCAGGAAGAAGGCGCUACGCGUUGUAAACUGCUUUUAACCGGGAAGAAACCCCAGGACGUGUCCUGGGUUGACGGUACCGGAGGAAUAAGCACCGGCUAACUUCGUGCCAGCAGCCGCGGUAAUACGAAGGGUGCAAGCGUUAUCCGGAUUCAUUGGGUUUAAAGGGUGCGUAGGCGGAGCGUUAAGUCAGUGGUGAAAUCCUGCAGCUUAACUGUAGACUUGCCAGUGAUACUGGCGCUCUUGAGUGCGCUUGAAGUGGGCGGAAUGUGCCGUGUAGCGGUGAAAUGCUUAGAUAUGGUACAGAACACCAAUUGCGAAGGCAGCUCACUAAGGCGAUACUGACGCUGAGGCACGAAAGCGUGGGGAUCGAACAGGAUUAGAUACCCUUGUAGUCC